rnacentral:rRNA from 1 species
CUACGGGUCGCUGCAGUGAGGAAUUUUGCGCAAUGGGGGAAACCCUGACGCAGCAACGCCGCGUGAGUGAAGAAGGCCUUUGGGUCGUAAAGCUCUGUCGACAGGGAAGAAGUUAUCAUGCUUAAAUAGCGUAUGGUAUUGACGGUACCUGUGGAGGAAGCAUCGGCUAACUCCGUGCCAGCAGCCGCGGUAAUACGGGGGAGGCAAGCGUUAUUCGGAAUUAUUGGGCGUAAAGGGCACGCAGGCGGCCUUGUCAGUCAGAUGUGAAAGCCCGGGGCUCAACCCCGGACGUGCAUUUGAAACAGCAAGGCUUGAGUACGGUAGAGGGAAGGGGGAUUCCUGGUGUAGAGGUGAAAUUCGUAGAUAUCAGGAGGAACACCGGUGGCGAAGGCGCCUUCCUGGGCCUGUACUGACGCUGAGGUGCGAAGGCGUGGGUAGCGAACAGGAUUAGAUACCCUCGUAGUC